rnacentral:rRNA from 1 species
GAUGAACGCUGGCGGCGUGCCUAAUACAUGCAAGUCGAGCGAACGGACGAGAAGCUUGCUUCUCUGAUGUUAGCGGCGGACGGGUGAGUAACACGUGGAUAACCUACCUAUAAGACUGGGAUAACUUCGGGAAACCGGAGCUAAUACCGGAUAAUAUUUUGAACCGCAUGGUUCAAAAGUAAAAGACGGUCUUGCUGUCACUUAUAGAUGGAUCCGCGCUGCAUUAGCUAGUUGGUAAGGUAACGGCUUACCAAGGCAACGAUGCAUAGCCGACCUGAGAGGGUGAUCGGCCACACUGGAACUGAGACACGGUCCAGACUCCUACGGGAGGCAGCAGUAGGGAAUCUUCCGCAAUGGGCGAAAGCCUGACGGAGCAACGCCGCGUGAGUGAUGAGGGUCUUCGGAUCGUAAAACUCUGUUAUUAGGGAAGAACAUAUGUGUAAGUAACUGUGCACAUCUUGACGGUACCUAAUCAGAAAGCCACGGCUAACUACGUG